GUCGAGGGGUAAAUGGUAGCAAUACUAUGAGACCGGCGGACGGGUGCGUAACGCGUAUGCAACAUACCUUGUGCAGGGGGAUAGCCCGUGGAAACGCGGAUUAAUAUUCCAUAGUCCAGCUAUAUCGCAUGGUAUAGUUGGUAAAGAUUUAUCGGCACAAGUUUGGCAUGCGUCUGAUUAGCUUGUUGGUAGGGUAACGGCCUACCAAGGCUACGAUCAGUAGGGGUUCUGAGAGGAUUAACCCCCACACUGGUACUGAGACACGGACCAGACUCCUACGGGAGGCAGCAGUGAGGAAUAUUGGUCAAUGGGCGGAAGCCUGAACCAGCCAUCCCGCGUGAAGGAAGACAGCCUUACGGGUUGUAAACUUCUUUUCUGUCAGAAGAAUAAGCUUGUCGAGACGAGUGAUGCCGGUAUGACAGGAAUAAGCAUCGGCUAACUCCGUGCCAGCAGCCGCGGUAAUACGGAGGAUGCAAGCGUUAUCCGGAUUUAUUGGGUUUAAAGGGUGCGCAGGUUGUUUGAUAAGUCAGUGGUGAAAGUCUGUCGCUUAACGGUAGGAUUGCCAUUGAUACUGUUGGACUUGAAUAUGGAUGAGGUAGGCGGAAUGUGUAGUGUAGCGGUGAAAUGCAUAGAUAUUACACAGAACACCGAUUGCGAAGGCAGUUUACUAAUCCAUCAUUGACGCUGA
rnacentral:rRNA from 1 species